rnacentral:rRNA from 1 species
CGCGUAGGCGGAAGUUUAAGUCAGAUGUGAAAUUCCAAGGCUCAACUUUGGAGCUGCAUCUGAAACUGGAUUUCUAGAGGGUUGGCGGAGAAAAUGGAACUCCACGUGUAGCGGUGAAAUGCGUAGAUAUGUGGAGGAACACCUGUGGCGAAAGCGGUUUUCUAGCUAAUUCCUGACGCUGAGGCGCGAGAGCAAGGGGGAGCCAAAACA